rnacentral:lncRNA from 1 species
UGUUUCACAAGUUCAGAUUUGGCCUGAAGAAGCUCUUAGUCCUUUACUGAACUUACUUAAAUAUAUGCUACAUGACAAUUUCUACAGCUUUAUGAAUGGGCCUGGCUUUUUGCAGAUAAAUAGGGUAUGUUUGACAAGGAACUUGCUGCUUAAUAAUCACAAGUCACUAUUCAUAGUAUCCAUGAUAUCCGCAACAGCAUUUGAAUGAGUAGGCUACCCUGAGCUAGAGGAAAGACAGAUGAAGCACAUGAGUGUGCCUCAGGGCCAACUUAAAUAAAUGGCUUAUUAAAAAGGUACCUUUCACUUCUGAUUGCUGCUCAAAUUCAACCAGUAAAUUUACUGAUGCAAGACAAAUGGAAAAAAUAGCUUUGCCUGCCUGAAGAAAGAUAUAAUUAACAACAACGACAAAAAUUAAAAAAAAAAAAAAGAUAUAACCUAACAUCUCCUUCCUCCUCAUUAAGUGGGGAAGGGUCCAGCCUUCAGAAAACAUUUUGUUAAGCUCUUCAGGAUAGUAAGAAGAUGACCUGAUACGUUUGGGGCUCAGGAUACAGCUAGAUGGCAAAUUCAUGGUGUGAUCCUCUAUCUGAGGGCAAGGAGAAGAGGAGGGAAGAAAGGGAGUCAAAUUACUUCAAGCAACUAGUAUUUGUGCACCAGUUGUACAUGAACACUUUAAAUCACACUUGGCUUGCUAAUCCAAAUCUGAAAUUUCAAAUAACCGCUAAAGCUAUACAUGUAUUUUUUACUUAUAACACUAAAAUGCAUUGAAAACACAGAACUCUCCAAAAUACAUGGCAAUACGUGGA